UUGCAGCCAAUUAAUCCAACUGUUCUCUUUUCCCCAUGGGGGCCUAGUGUUCAAUGGCUGCAAACUGCAGCCCCUUGGUAGUGUAGGCAGCCUGUUGUCUAUACAGGUUGCCCUAAGGACCUUGGAGACAGUC
rnacentral:snoRNA from 1 species